UACAGAAGGUGCGAGCGUUAUUCGUUAUUACUGGGCGUAAAGGGUAUGUAGGUGGGGUAGAAAAUUUUGCUCGAAAACCUGGAGUCUUAACUUCAGAAGCAAGCUUUUAGAUUACUACUCUUCGAGUUAAUAUCGGGUCGGAGGAACUUUCAGGGAAAAGGUAGAAUUUCGCAAUUCUGGAAGGAACGCCAAAGGCAAAGGCAUCUCUCUAGUGUUAACUGACGCUGAGGUACGGAGGCGUAGGGAUCAAACAGG
rnacentral:rRNA from 1 species